GAGCUGCUAAGAAAUCGGGCUUAAUCGGUUCUUUCGAAUAGUUCGCUUUAACAAUUAUUCUUUAACGUCAAAAUCAAUGUCAUAAUUACAUCCAGACGCACAUGCUCGAAAAGACUACGAUAAAGUCCUGGUGCAUUUUAAACCUGCAGUAGUUCCAAAAGGAAGAACCUCUUUCAUUCCUUGAGAAACUGACAUCAAAAAUGCAUCCUUCUUUAUCAUCCCCUCCAACCACCUGGAUUCAUUCUGACUUCUCUUCGAUGCUGGACUUUUCCAAUCAUUUAGUCUGCUUAAACUCCCCUUCUGAAAAUCAACUAUUUCUCAAAUCCCUGGCCUCCCAGCUCAACCACGCAGGACCCAUGAAUGACGCGUGUCACUGUUCAACACAGGCACUCUUGUAAACACAACACCCGCAACACAUGUAUCAAGUGGCCGAUCGUUUCGGUUUCACCGCGAUCAAAAUUUGCUUCGGGCUGGGUGAACCUCUCGCCGCUACCUCAAAGUAUCAUAUGCAAACUGUGUGCGUUUGUUAUGGAGCUCUGGCAGCGACUGAUGAGUGUCUCAUUAUCUCCACACCAGCCGUACACAGUAAGAAGAGCAUAAUCAAAGCCUGGGGGAUAUUUCAAUUUGAUGCUCAACAAGCUGAGCCUGAGAUUAAAGGAUCAUACGUGUCAUCCACACAAACAUCACUUCCAGAGCAGGCAAGCGUACGUGAGCUCAGCUUCUCCAAGAGAGAGGCAUCACAUCACCGCCACAGACGACGCAGUCGCACUUCUGUCUCCCCGCGUGUGAGGGUGUCUGUGUCCUCUGCGUGUUCGCGAGUGAAGGCUGAUGCGAUGCCUAUCACAUGUUUGAGAUGUCGAGGAAGGAGACUUUUCUUUUCGCUCUGUGUGUGUGUGUGUAUGCGUGUGACGAAAUUUGCUUUUAAGAAAUAUUUAUGAGCCUGUGCCCUUUAAAAAAAAGUAAAAAGAAAGCGUCUUUAAUGAACAUGUUUUAGAGAUUGUUUCAGCAUCUAUAAUUUAUAAGGUAAGACUUCAUCUGUGAACAGGGCUAGUUUGUAAAUGUGAAUACUUAAUAAUAAUGAAAAAAAAAAAACCAUCUCAGACAGCUGCUGUACUGGCAUAAUAUGACACUUCUGCAGUAGACCGCUAAUCUCGGUAGAAGGCUGGUGUGUGUGUGUGUG